rnacentral:rRNA from 1 species
CACGUAGGGGGCAAGCGUUGUCCGGAAUCAUUGGGCGUAAAGCGCGCGUAGGCGGCCAGAUAAGUCCGGUGUGAAAGUCAAAGGCUCAACCUUUGAAUGCCGCUGGAAACUAUCUGGCUAGAGUCCGGAAGGGGCGAGUGGAACUCCUGGUGUAGCGGUGAAAUGCGCAGAUAUCAGGAGGAACACCGAUGGCGAAGGCAGGUCUCUGGGCCAUAACUGACGCUGAGGAGCGAAAGCGUGGGGAGCGAACAGG